CAGUAGCCGCGGUAAUACGGAGGAUCCAAGCGUUAUCCGGAAUCAUUGGGUUUAAAGGGUCCGUAGGCGGUCUUGUAAGUCAGUGGUGAAAGCCCAUCGCUCAAUGGUGGAACGGCCAUUGAUACUGCAGGACUUGAAUUAUUGGGAAGUAACUAGAAUAUGUAGUGUAGCGGUGAAAUGCUUAGAGAUUACAUGGAAUACCAAUUGCGAAGGCAGGUUACUACCAAUUGAUUGACGCUGAUGGACGAAAGCGUGGGUAGCGAACAGGAUUAGAUACCCGCGUAGUCCCUGUCUCUUAUAC
rnacentral:rRNA from 1 species